GAACUUACCGACUAGCNCNCUUUAAUGUCAUCNAAAUNGGNCNACGUUGAUUCAUGGCUCAGCACUGAGACGCUCGGCGGNCAGCCUAACACAUGCAAGUCGAACGGCAGCACAGGAGAGCUUGCUCUCUGGGUGGCGAGUGGCGGACGGGUGAGGAAUACAUCGGAAUCUACUCUGUCGUGGGGGAUAACGUAGGGAAACUUACGCUAAUACCGCAUACGACCUACGAGUGAAAGCAGGGGAUCUUCGGACCUUGCGCGAUUGAAUGAGCCGAUGUCGGAUUAGCUAGUUGGCGGGGUAAAGGCCCACCAAGGCGACGAUCCGUAGCUGGUCUGAGAGGAUGAUCAGCCACACUGGAACUGAGACACGGUCCAGACUCCUACGGGAGGCAGCAGUGGGGAAUAUUGGACAAUGGGCGCAAGCCUGAUCCAGCCAUACCGCGUGGGUGAAGAAGGCCUUCGGGUUGUAAAGCCCUUUUGUUGGGAAAGAAAUCCAGCUGGCUAAUACCUGGUUGGGAUGACGGUACCCA
rnacentral:rRNA from 1 species